rnacentral:rRNA from 1 species
UCAAUAAGCGGAGGAAAAGAAACCAACAGGGAUUGCCUCAGUAACGGCGAGUGAAGCGGCAACAGCUCAAAUUUGAAAUCUGGCGUCCGCCCGAGUUGUAAUUUGCAGAGGAUGCUUCGGGGCCGCGGCCGAUCUAAGUCCUUUGGAACAGGGCGUCAUAGAGGGUGAGAAUCCCGUAUGUGACCGGCUGGCACCCCACACGUAGCUCCUUCGACGAGUCGAGUUGUUUGGGAAUGCAGCUCUAAAUGGGAGGUAAAUUUCUUCUAAAGCUAAAUACCGGCCAGAGACCGAUAGCGCACAAGUAGAGUGAUCGAAAGAUGAAAAGCACUUUGGAAAGAGAGUCAAACAGCACGUGAAAUUGUUGAAAGGGAAGCGCAUGCAACCAGACUUGUCGGCGGUGUUCCCCCGGUCUUCUGACCGGGUCACUCGCCGCCGGCAGGCCAGCAUCGUUUGCGACCGCCGGAGAAAGGCGCGGGGAAUGUGGCUCCUCGGAGUGUUAUAGCCCCGCGCACAAUACGGUGCGUCGCGAGCGAGGUCCGCGCUUCGGCUAGGAUGCUGGCGUAAUGGUCGUAUGCGGCCCGUCUUGAAACACGGACCAAGGAGUCUACCAUCUAUGCGAGUGUUCGGGUGUCAAACCCCUACGCGCAAUGAAAGUGAACGGAGGUGGGAACGCAAGUGCACCAUCGACCGAUCCUGAUGUCUUCGGAUGGAUUUGAGUAAGAGCAUAGCUGGGGGACCGAAAGAUGGUGAUCUUUACUUGAUAGGNGAAGCAGAGAAACUCUGGUGGAGGCUCGCAGCG